rnacentral:lncRNA from 1 species
CAUGAGAGUUCUUCACUGGCCAGCACUCCGCUCCAUACAACAUUUCAGGUCUAACCACAGCUCUAUAAAAUUUUGCCUUGAGUUUCUGUGGAACUUUCUUGUCACACAGGACUCCUGAUGCAAGCCUCCACUUUGACCACCCCGCUCCUAUACGAUGAGUGACGUCCCCGUCAAUCUCUCCGUCCCCUUGAAUCACCAACCCAAGAUAUCAGACACUGUCCCUCUUGACGAUGACCUGAGAUCCAAUCGUCACGUCCCUGCCU